CCCUUAGGUUGGGUAUAAACCCGGGAAACUGGGUAUAAUACCCGAUAGGUCUCGAUUGCUGGAAUGCAUCGAGAUUUAAAGCUCCGGCGCCUAAGGAUGGGUCUGCGGCCUAUCAGGUAGUAGUGGGUGUAGCGUACCUACUAGCCUACGACGGGUACGGGUUGUGAGAGCAAGAGCCCGGAGAUGGAUUCUGAGACACGAAUCCAGGCCCUACGGGGUGCAGCAGGCGCGAAAACUUUACAAUGCUGGCAACAGCGAUAAGGGAACCUCGAGUGCCAGGUUACAAAUCUGGCUGUCGAGAUGCCUAAAAAGCAUUUCAUAGCAAGGGCCGGGCAAGACCGGUGCCAGCCGCCGCGGUAACACCGGCGGCUCGAGUGGUAACCGUUAUUAUUGGGUCUAAAGGGUCUGUAGCCGGCCGGAUAAGUCUCUUGAGAAAUCUGGCAGCUUAACUGUCAGGCUUUCAGGAGAUACUGUCUGGCUCGAGGCCGGGAGAGGUGAGAGGUACUUCAGGGGUAGGGGUGAAAUCUUGUAAUCCUUGAAGGACCACCAGUGGCGAAGGCGUCUCACCAGAACGGACCUGACGGCAAGGGACGAAAGCUAGGGGCACGAACCGGAUUAGAUACCCGGGUAGUCCUAGCCGUAAACGAUACUCGCUAGGUGUCGGCCACGGUGCGACCGUUGUCGGUGCCGUAGGGAAGCCGUGAAGCGAGCCACCUGGGAAGUACGGCCGCAAGGCUGAAACUUAAA
rnacentral:rRNA from 1 species